rnacentral:tRNA from 1 species
GGGGCGGUAGCUCAAUUGGGAGAGCAUCGGCUUUGCAAGCCGGGGGUUGCCGGUUCAAUCCCGGUCCGCUCCACCA